GAAAAUUUUUUUUCGCCUCCUUUUUAUUCCUAACUUAAAAUUGAAAAAAAUAUUAAUUAUUCUUGGACAAAUUUUGACACGAGUUUAUUAUUAAUUAUAAAUUUAAAGUUUAAAAUUUUACGAGUGCGAAUGUAGCCGACAUCAGACAAAUUUAAAAUUAUUAAUAAAUAAAUAAAAUGGCAGACAAUCGAUAACCGAGAACCAGUUUGGGUGUAAUGUAUUAUCAGUUUGAUAAUUUAGAACAGUAAUGAGGAGAUCGAAAUGGUGAAGAGUGGGGACGAGCAGCAGCAGCAGCAGCAGCAGCUACCGUGGCCUCUACUCAUAACGUCUGUAGUACCCCAAAGCCCAAAGAAACGCUGACAAUUGAGAUGGUCAUCAUUAGCACAGCACUAGGUUGAUUCAGAUCCAUAAAAUAACUUUAUUGCAUAUAUAAUUAUCCAUCAAGCAGAUAAUGAAUGAAAUGGCUGCGGUGAUAAGAGCAGCUCAGUCACUAAACGAUAAAAGCAAGAAAAGAUAUAAACAAAAUUUAUCCACAUCGAGAAAGGAACAUAACAAUGUUCUGUGAGAGCUGGUUUAUGAUGCGUAAAAUUAUAAUUAUUCAAAUAACUGAAUAGCGCCUGCAUGACAAUCACCAGUUUAACAUCAGUGUGAAGCCAUUUAAGUGUAUUUAAUUUUUUUGAUGGUUUUAUUUCAACGAUUAGGUAAUUUUUUAAAAAUUAAUCAUUUAAUAUUGGGGCUGCGUAAAAGGGGAGUUGAAAGAAUUUUUUAUUUUUAUUCAUAAAAAAAAAGGCUGAAGUGAAAAAAAUCAAAUGAGUAGACGUUAUCUACUAAAACAUCGGAAACAUCAGACAAAUAUAAAAUUAUUAAUGAAUAGAGUAAAUAAUUAAUCAAAUUAAAUUUUUAAAAAAUGAGAAUUUAAAAAAUUUAAAAAUUAAUAAGUGCAUUUUUUAUAAUUAUUAUUUUUUUGAUUAUUUACUCUAUUUAUUUAUAAGUUGAAACUUGUCUGAUGUCUGUUACGUUCACACUCAUUUAAUUUAUAUGUACGUGAUUUUUAAAAUUUUUUUUUAAAUGAUUAAUUUUUUUAAAAGCUCACCUUUGUGAUGACAUCUUGGCAAAAAAUUCAAAAAAUCGCUUUUUGGAGUCUGUGGAUCAAAAAAAAAUAAUUAUUUAUCAUUUUCUAGGUUAUUUAGUCUAGACGCGCUCUUCAAGUAAAAGAGUACGUGUUUUUAAAAUUUUUAUUUAAAAAAUUGAAAAAAAAAAUUUUUUUUUAAUUUUCAAUUGAUAAUAAUAAUUAAAUAAUUAACUAUUAAAUUGUUUUACCUUUAUUGACAGAUUAUUAUUGAUGAUUGUCAGAUGACUAUUGUACUCUUGACAUACAGAUAGAUGAUCAAGAUAAUAUUUGAAAUCAAUGUCAUGUCAUUGAAAAUUUAGAUAAAGAUGACAUAUGAUCAAUCAUCUCCAAAAUCAAUGUCAUGCCAUUGAAAAUUUAGAUAAAGAUGACAUUUGAUCAAUCAUCUCCAAAAUCAAUGUCAUGUCAUUGAAAAUUUAGAUAAAGUCCAGGAGUUAUAAGAAUUUUAAUUUAUAAAGGUCCUACGACUUUACAUUUUAAUUUAUUAGGACGAGUAAUCACAAUAUUAAAAUUAAUUUUUUAAAAACUGUGGCGUAAAUCGUUCAGAUCAUUAUUUAUUAAGCGAUUUAGAUAUCAAAUCGUCUAAUGAAAUUUUUUUUUUGUAGAUCAAAUUUGUGAAUUUUUCUCAAAUCAUCGAAUUCCAAUAAAGUUAAUUCAUUAAUUUACAAUACUAAUACUUAAGAAUUUAUUUAAUCACUUUAUUUUUAAUUUGUAGCU